rnacentral:tRNA from 1 species
GGCUCUGUGGUGAAAUUCAUAGUGAGUUGCAAGCUCAUUGAUGCGUAUAAGAGUUACGCCGGAGUCU